AUACUUACCGGGCAGGGGAGAUACCAUGAUCAAGAAGGUAGUUUUCCAGGGCAAGGCUUAUCCAUCGCACUCCAGAUGUGCUGACCCCUGCAAUUUUCCCAAAUGUGGGAAACUCGACUGCGUAAUUUGUGGCAGUGGGGGACUGUGUUCGCGCUCUCCCCUG
ensembl:snRNA U1 U1 spliceosomal RNA